CGUGGAGACAGGUGGUGCAUGGCUGUCGUCAGCUCGUGUCGUGAGAUGUUGGGUUAAGUCCCGCAACGAGCGCAACCCUCACCUCUUGUUGCCACCAGGUCAUGCUGGGCACUCUAGAGGAACUGCCCCGGUCAACGGGGAGGAAGGCGGGGAUGACGUCAAGUCAUCAUGCCCCUUACGUCCUGGGCUACACACGUGCUACAAUGGCCGGUACAAAGGGAUGCCACACCGCGAGGUAGAGCUAAACCCAAAAAGCCGGUCUAAGUUCAGAUUGGAGUCUGCAACUCGACUCCAUGAAGGAGGAAUCGCUAGUAAUCGCGUAUCAGCACGACGCGGUGAAUACGUUCCCGGGCCUUGUACACACCGCCCGUCACACCACGAAAGCCGGCUGUACUCGAAGUCGCUGAG
rnacentral:rRNA from 1 species